UACGUAGGGUGCAAGCGUUGUCCGGAAUUAUUGGGCGUAAAGAGCUCGUAGGCGGUCUGUUGCGUCGGCUGUGAAAACCCGGGGCUCAACCCCGGGCCUGCAGCCGAUACGGGCAGACUAGAGUUCGGCAGGGGAGACUGGAAUUCCUGGUGUAGCGGUGAAAUGCGCAGAUAUCAGGAGGAACACCGGUGGCGAAGGCGGUUCUCUGGGCAUGUCCUGACGCUGAGGAGCGAAAGUGCGGGGAGCGAACAGG
rnacentral:rRNA from 1 species